rnacentral:lncRNA from 1 species
GUUAAUUAUAACUCAGUAAGAAAAAGAAUAUGUUCAAAUCCUACAGCAGCCAGAUCUUUGCAAAAUUAAUAUGGGUCUCAGUUUUUACAUAUAUAAAAUAGCGAUUAUAAUGCUACAUGCAUCUCUUGGUUACACAAUUUAUAUAACCAUAGGAGGAGAUAUUUUCUAUACAAUAAAAAUUAUGUUAACACUAAAGCAGCUCCAUUGUCUGGGUAUAUACCCUGGGGUUCAUUAUCAUGCGCCAGUAAAAUUUAGGACACGGACACACACGAGGAGUUUAGGAGCAGAGGUUUAACAGGCAGAAGAGGAAGAGAAAUAGCUCUCUCUAUAGAAAGAGGGGUCUCCAAGUGGAAAGGACCAGCAGGUGGUGGAUGCACCCGAAUUUUAUAGUCAGGUUUGAGGAAGUGGUGUCUGAUUUACAUAGGACUCACAGAUUGGUUUGAUGAGGUAUGACGUUAACAUAGCAUGAGGAAGGCUGGCCACCCACCCUAAUCUUAUUAUGCAAAUGGGCUUUUCAGUUGAUCUGCACCAUCUUGUCUGCUUCUUACUGUAUAUGUAGCUGACAAAGAGAAGGGAAGAUGGAGCCACCAUCUUGAACAUGUCUAGUCCUUAGUUUCUGCCUGGCAUUCACCUGUGAAAGCUCCCAGCUUGCUUGUCUUGUGUCUGCAGCCCGACUUUACGGGCUGCUCUUUGUUAGAAAAUGAUUUUGAGCUGCUUUCAUUAAAAAGGAAAGCCUUAUCGAGGACUCCCAUACCCUUACUAUCUGCCUAAGUGAUUUCUUCUUAACUCCUAUAUCAACACUAGGUACCACUGAACUUAAGAAAGUUUAUAUACAUUUUUAUUAUUUUCAAUUGCUUGGAAAUCUCUGCAUAGUUACCAUCUUCUUCCUGCUUCCUUUGUCCUGGCUGUGGUAAUGCGUAUUGCUGCAAACCUCUUCAACACCUAUUCAGCUAAGUAGAGCUUGGUCUGGCACCUGUAGUACUCUUGAGACUUGAGGCUGCUCUGCUGUGAGGCUGAGGCCAGAGUCUGAAUGCUGGGCAGGCCACCAGGAACCGUUUUGUCUGCCUUUUCAGAAAACAAGCAUUGACUUUCUGAGCCCACUUGAAUUUCAAUAUAGACUUGUAAUAGAAAACCCUUUUUGCCCAAGGGUUGUGUCCUAAAUGGUACCUCAGGUCUUUUCAUCUUGUAUUCUCAAAAAAGAAAAAGAAGAAAACCUAAGUAAGUUGGAAGGCUCCCCUGGUGACAGAGCUUUAGCUUUCUCUUCUUCCUUUAAUUUUGAAACUGGAAACUAUUUUGAAAACAAGUUUGUGCUGAAUGCUAAUGAUUAUGUUUUACUCUAAUAUUAAGAUUUGUAGUAACAUUCUGAUGACUAGUAUUAAUGACUUUCUUUUCUUAAAAAACAAGUCCUAAUUCACUCUGCACAAUUUAAAACAAUGAUUUACAUGUAGUAGAACAAGUUUUAAAGAGACAUAUGCAAUUAUUUCUUCACAGAGUGUUAACAUUUUAAACCUAGUCAGUUUGUAAGAUAAGCCUCUCUCAAGUACUUUCUUU